UCUCCGUUGGUGAACCAGCGGAGGGAUCAUUACCGAGUUUACAACUCCCAAACCCAAUGUGAACGUUACCAAACUGUUGCCUCGGCGGGAUCUCUGCCCCGGGCGCGUCGCAGCCCCGGACCAAGGCGCCCGCCGGAGGACCAACCCAAAACUCUUUUUGUAUACCCCCUCGCGGGUUUUUUUUAUAAUCUGAGCCUUCUCGGCGCCCCUUCGUGGGCGUUUCGAAAAUGAAUCAAAACUUUCAACAACGGAUCUCUUGGUUCUG
rnacentral:misc_RNA from 1 species